rnacentral:rRNA from 1 species
GAUGAACGCUGGCGGCGUGCCUAAUACAUGCAAGUCGAGCGAACAGACGAGGAGCUUGCUCCUCUGACGUUAGCGGCGGACGGGUGAGUAACACGUUGAUAACCUACCUAUAAGACUGGGAUAACUUCGGGAAACCGGAGCUAAUACCGGAUAAUAUAUUGAACCGCAUGGUUCAAUAGUGAAAGACGGUUUUGCUGUCACUUAUAGAUGGAUCCGCGCCGCAUUAGCUAGUUGGUAAGGUAACGGCUUACCAAGGCGACGAUGCGUAGCCGACCUGAGAGGGUGAUCGGCCACACUGGAACUGAGACACGGUCCAGACUCCUACGGGAGGCAGCAGUAGGGAAUCUUCCGCAAUGGGCGAAAGCCUGACGGAGCAACGCCGCGUGAGUGAUGAAGGUCUUCGGAUCGUAAAACUCUGUUAUUAGGGAAGAACAAAUGUGUAAGUAACUAUGCACGUCUUGACGGUACCUAAUCAGAAAGCCACGGCUAACUACGUG